rnacentral:rRNA from 1 species
UACGAAGGGGGCUAGCGUUGCUCGGAAUCACUGGGCGUAAAGGGUGCGUAGGCGGGUUUUUAAGUCAGAGGUGAAAUCCUGGAGCUCAACUCCAGAACUGCCUUUGAUACUGAGAGUCUCGAGUCCGGGAGAGGUGAGUGGAACUGCGAGUGUAGAGGUGAAAUUCGUAGAUAUUAGGAAGAACACCAGUGGCGAAGGCGGCUCACUGGUCCGGUACUGACGCUGAGGUGCGAAAGCGUGGGGAGCAAACAGG